UGUUGUGUUUAUUGUUUUGUAUAUUAAAUGAUUAAAUCACGCCGUUAGUUUGGGUUUGUUUUCGUUUUACAUUAUUUUGUAAUGUUUGGGCUUUAUUAUCUAAUAAUGCAGUACGGGGUCUGCUUAUUGUAAACGGCCAUACACGUAUGUUACCUGUAACUUGUUAACUUACUGUCAUUUGUACUCGUACUGCAUCAUUUGUUAAUGGUAAUAAGCUGACAAUACCGAAGAUAUUACCGUCCUAAAAUUAAAUAGACUGUUAAAAAAGAGGAAUUCAAACAGCAACGGACAAGAGUAAAACAGAUUGUUUUU
rnacentral:lncRNA from 1 species